rnacentral:snRNA from 1 species
AGACUGUGGGUAAUCGGGCCACAAUAUCUGCCACUCUACUGAUUGUUAGCAUUGAUUCAGAGUCUAGCUGGCCAGGCGAGUGGCCCUUUUCUUCCUCGCUGCUCUGUGUGUACCCUUCCUGAAGCUGCAAGUUAAGUGGAAGAGAACGAACUUCCUCCAUUGUGGUGGUUUGAAUAGGAAUGCUCCUCUCCGCCCUCCCCCCCCCCAAAGACUCAAGCAUUUGAAUGCUUGGUGUGGGAGGUGUGGCCUUAUUG